UAGUUUUAUGUUUCGUUUGAUAAUUAAUUGUUAAUUUUUAUUUACGGCUUUAUUAAAAUAAAAAUACAUGAUUUAACAAAGUAGUGUUUUUGUCUUAUUUUGGAAAUUUCCGGCGACCCCCCUAGUACUUUAUUGCGACCCCCAGGGGGUCCCGACCCACACUUUGGGAAACACUGUCUUAAGGGACCAAGGGACCCCUAGCUUGGGUGCCUAGGGGCCUCAAGAUUCUUAAUCCGGGACUGUAAAUAGAGAACCGAACCCUCUAUCUAUGGCCGGCGUGAAGUAUCCCAUCGUUUGUCGGUAAAUUAACAGGGUUAAAAAGAAGACAGAAGCUGACACACACCCUUUCAAUAAUUUCACCAUCCUAGCCGAAGUAUCUAAGAAAGCUGGGCUCUUUAUUGAUGAGCCCACUUUUUAACAAGCAGGAAUUCACAGUUUAACAAAAGCACUAUAUUAUUAUGUCAAAGAAAAAUUUCAGAAAAUAUUGAGUACUAUUCGUAAAUAUUUCAUUCAAAAUCGAUACGGUCCCAUAACGAACCAAGACGGAAGUUUAUUUUGGGUCACGUCCAAACUUUUUUUAAACCGUUUAUUAGAAUUAAAAAAAAAUCUAAAAAGCUUCUUUUGUUUGCUCAAAACAUCGGGAACUGGUGUCAAAUUUGAUAUGCAUUGUAUACAAAACAUGGUGUUAAUCUUUAGUUCAGGUUAAGGUCACAGUAGCCACAUCGUUAUGAAUAAUACAUAAUUCGAAAUAGAUUGAAGUGAAUUGAUUAAAUAGUUUGUUGCUCCUCUCCGGACCUACAAGAUAUCUAAAUAAAGUUGAUAAACUGUGACAAAUUCAAACGAGGAUACGGAUACCAAAGUAGCAAAGACAUCCACCAAAGGAGCUUUCUCCGUAACGGGGCGAAGAUAGAAUUACAUUUUCUUUUGUUACUUUUAAUUUUGAUCUGUAUAUAAAUAUCCUGAAUAUAUUUAUUUCAUUUUUAA
rnacentral:lncRNA from 1 species